GAGAGAGAGAGAGAGAGAGAGAAGAAACGUCAAGAGAGGGAUGAUAACGCAACACCCCUGCGCUUGCGAAUUAAGAGAGAUGAUUCCAAUCAGGGUGGAUGUCAGGAUGUCUAUAAAGAAGAUGAUCAUAAGGAUUCAAUAAAAACUGUUGGCACUGUCUUCAAAGGAAUUCUUGAAUUAUUGUGAAUUGGGUAAAUACAAAUCAUCCCUUUACUACUUUCCGCAUAAAAAUAACCCUUUUAGUUGUUUAUAGCUCACCCGCAAUAAAAAGGGUCAUCCCUACUUACGAUCUGCUAAUCUGGUCCUAAACGUGACCAUAAAGUAAUGUCAAUACAAAUGUAAAAUUAUAAACCUACAUUGUAUUCUCCAUAGCGUAUUUUUUAUAAGACACUAAAGAUGUUUAAAUUAAUAAUUUAUUUAAAUAAAUACAACCAGUUACUCGUGCCGAU